GUGCAAAUUUUAUGCCUCGUAGGAGUCGACAUACCAUCGGAUGUUUCCCUGUUUGAAUUCCAUUCCAACCUACGUGGCCUGCCGAGAUAGCUGACCUAUAUAGAUUAAUUGUACGAUACGCCAGGCCGUGGUCGAAAAGUGAAGUAAGGAAACCCAAGACUUGACUCACAGCUGCAGAUAUGGGAUCCACGUGUUGUUCCACGCACCAACCAUGCCAUGCCUUCCAGGCAUGUAAAUACGAUUUCCUUGUACCUGGGGCCCAAGCUUCUGCCAGGAGGUCCAGAGUUGUUUGUGGAACAUUUGGGAUGUCAUCGAGUCCCCUGAGAGGAGCCAUGCCAAAAGCUUGAGAUGUCCCUGCAGUAUGAGAGGAUGUGGAUUGCCAUAGGGAUCCAGG